rnacentral:lncRNA from 1 species
AAUUUUGAUAAUAUGCAAUAUCCACUGUUCAUCAACAUCGGGUGUGCCAAGUUACUUUGGUAGCUGCUGUUUUAAAUUUCAAGGUUUGUGAUGUGACUAAGUGAUGCAGAUGUGAUUUGUUUUGUCCUGAGGGUUCGAACCUUAGUAACAUCGCCACGAGAAUACUGUAUUGGUAACAAGAUCAUUUGGUACAUGUACAUUAUUAUCACUCUUUGCGUAUCGUUUUAUGAAAGCCUAACAAUUUUUAUUAGCAACAAAAACCCUGGGUAGCCGGGAUCACCCAGCACACCUGCCUAGAGGAAACCCACAAUCUCCAAAAACUACAACAGUACAACUACAAACAUCUAGGUAUAAAUACCCCCAAUCUCCUCUCUCCAUUCUAUAAACGAAUUCCACUGUUUCUUUCGCACUUCACUCGUUUCAACUUAUAAACAUAUACAUGAUUCACCAUCUUUGAUCUUCCAUUUCAGUUGGUUUUGCUACUGUUUCAUUGAUGGACAAGAGAGUCGAAGCCAUGUGAGAGUUCGAACCCACCACCAGCCAACUGUUGAAACUCCCGCUCGCUAUUGUCCCUUUUGUGCCUGAAGAUGUUGUUGUCUUUGUUGUUGGUGCCCUCUCCGGUGCUACUGCCAAAAUAAUUAUUGCCCAUCUUGACCGGAUUAAACUCACCUUGCAGGGAUUAUGCUUUUGCAAUGUUAUAAGAGGUUGGUUGUUGUUAUGGCUGGUGAGUUAAAUAUGUUGGGGGAGGGGUAUGAUUAUUGGCAUGAAGUUGCUGCUUAGAAUGAAUAUUUAAGCAUGGGUUCGGUUUGGCUUGGUUUGGUUUUAGUUUCCAACGGUUCAGUUUCGGAAUCAACCCGUAAACACCCCUAGUGGGUAUGGUUAGUUGUAUUUUGUUAUAGGUUGGAUGUGCUAAAAGGUUGCUGAUUGGGGCUACUAUGGGGGAAUAGAGGUCAAGACUACUAGGAAGUUUGAAGAGAAG